CCCCAAAGAACCGGCGGCUCCCGGCAGCUCCCACCAUGGAGAGGAAGGAGAGAGGAGCCUCCAGCCCGGACACGGAGGGCACGAUGCCGAACCCUCCGCUGGAGUUCAAUGAUCCCGUUCAUGGCCGGAGGAUGAGCACCACAAAGCGAGCCGUGGCCGCGGCCAGGCAGGAGGGUCCCGAGAACAUUUACGAGCAGCUUUCCAGAGACUGUCCCUGAGCCACCAGCACAGUGCUAAAAAUGAGCCAUUACACACCGACGUGGAGAAAGAAAAGCAGGAAGGGGUGAGGGCCAGCCUCUCCGCUCGCUCCAGGACUCCACGAUCCCGCCAAGGCCGCCGAAAAAGAGUUUGGGAGCACGCGGUCUGCCAGGGGACAGAGCCUCCUGCCCCGUUUUAGCUGCAGCAAAGCCCUCCAGCGCCGCCGGGAGCUGCCGAGCGCCAGGGACAUUUUUAAAAGGGACGAAUCCACAGCGGUGAGCGCAACCCACGGCUCGAGGUUGGGCUGCACGUAGCAAAGUCCCUCGGACAAGAGUUUCGUCACCGGCUGCGCA